AUGUGUGAUGUACCAGCCCUACUCACGCCAAAGAAAGAUGGAUCUUGGCGCAUGUGUACGGACAAUAGAGCCGUUAACAAGAUCACCGUAAGGUAUAGAUUCCCUAUUCCCCGUCUGGAUGAUAUGUUGGAUCAUCUUAGUGGAUCAAGAGUGUUCACAAAGCUAGAUUUAAGAAGUGGAUAUAAUCAAAUCUGUAUAAGACCUGGGGAUGAAUGGAAGAUCGCCUUUAAGACAAAGGAAAGGUUGUUUGAAUGGCUAGUCAUGCCAUUUGGACUCUCAAAUGCACCAAGUACCUUUAUGCACUUAAUGAAUCAAGUCCUUAGACCAUUCUUAUCCCACUUUGUUGUGGUCUAUUUCGAUGACAUCUUGAUCUAUAGCAAGGAUGAGGAUGAACACUUUGAUCACAUUUGGAAGGUGCUAGAAGUACUAAGGGAAAAUGAGCUAUACGUCAACUUGAAGAAAUGUGUUUUCCUACAAACACAACUUCUUUUCCUAGGAUUCGUCAUAACAUGUGACGACAUUCGUGUUGAUGAUUCUAAGGUUGAAGCAAUCCGAGAAUGGCCAACUCCUAAGACCAUUUCUGAGGUAAGAAGCUUUCAUGGCCUUACAACUUUCUAUAGGCGAUUUGUGAAUAAUUUCAGCACUAUCAUGGCACCAAUUACCGAGUGUUUGAAGAAAGGAAAGUUCCAAUGGACAGAAGCAACUGAAGCUAGUUCCAAUGAGAUUAAACAAAAGCUAUCACAAGCUCCUGUCUUGGUACUACCUGAUUUCAACAAGACUUUUGAGUUGGAGUGUGAUGCAAGAGGAGUAGGCAUUGGAGUUGUCCUAUCUCAAGAAAGGAAGCCCAUUGCUUUCUUUAGUGAGAAGUUAAGUGAAGUUACACAGAAAUGGAGUACCUACCAGCAAGAAUUAUACGCCGUUUUCAGAGUGUUGAAAACUUGGGAAGUCUAUUUGCUGCCUAAAGAGUUCAUUGUUUAUAGCAACCAUCAGUCCUUGAAGCAUUUUAGAAAUCAAAAGCAUGUUGACCGCAUGCUAGCAAGAUGGGCAGCAUAUCUGGAGAGGUUUAACAAUCUCAUCGUGCAUAAAUCUGGAAUAACUAACAUAGUGGCCGAUGCUUUGAGUCGUCGUGCAUGCCUCUUGACUUCUUUUGAAGCUGAACUUCUGGGCAUGGAUCAAAUAAAGGAGUUGUAUGAGGGUGACAAAGACUUUGGCCAUGUUUGGGUAAAGCAUGCAAGGGGCCAACCAUUAGGUGAUGACUAUUUGAUGCAAGAUGGAUAUCUCUUCAAAAAUGAUCAUUUGUGCAUUCCAAGAAGUUUUCUACGUGACAAGCUGGUUAGAGAGCUCUAUUCAAGUGAUCUUAGUGGCCAUGUUGGAUGGGACAAGACUAUCGCUAACCUGGAAGCUCGCUACUUUUGGCCACAACAAAAGAGAGAUGCUGGAAAGUUCGUUCAAAGGUGCCCUGUAUGUCAGACCUGCAAAGGCCAAGUCCAGAACACUGGGUUAUACAUGCCUUUGCCUGUUCCUGUUGCUCCAUGGGAGGACAUUUCUAUGGACUUCGUCUUGGGCUUGCCAAGAACAAGACGAGGAAGUGAUGAUGUAUUUGUGGCCGUGGAUAGAUUCUCUAAGAUGGCUCAUUUCAUCCCAUGCCGCAAGACAACGGAUGCUCAUCAUGUGGCAAACCUAUUCUUUCGAGAAGUGGUCAGACUUCAUGGAGUUACAAGGUCCAUUGUCUCAGACCGUGAUAGCAAGUUUCUUGCUGCAUUUUGGCUCACUUUGUGGAAGCAAUUCAACACUGAAUUGAAAUUUUCUAGCACUGCUCAUCCACAAACAGAUGGACAAGCGGAAGUGGUGAACAAGUUUUUGGGUAAUCUGAUUCGUUGCAUUUGUGGAGAAAGAAAGGGACAAUUGGAUUUGGCUUUAUCUCUUGCAGAAUUCUCCUACAAUAACUCCAAGCAUAGAUCCACAGGAAGGAGCCAUUUUUUCCAUUGUCUACACUAA
rnacentral:rRNA from 1 species